AACGAACGCUGGCGGCAUGCCUAAUACAUGCAAGUCGAACGACACCUUCGGGUAAAUUGGCGUAUGGGUGCGUCACGCGUGGGAACCUGCCCAUAGGUUCGGAAUAACUCUACGAAAGGGUUACCAAUACCGAAAAAUAUCUUCUGACCAAUGAUUUAUAGCCUUUAAAUGGCCCCUAGUUUGCUUCGCUAGUUGGUAGGGUAAAAGCCUACAAAGGCGAACAUUCUUAGCUGGACUUAGAGGAUGCUCAGCAACACUGGGACUGGGACACGGCCCAGACUCCUAAGAGAGGCAGCAGUGGGGAAGAUUGGACGAUGGGCGAAAGACGGAGGCAGCAGUGCCGAGUAAGUGAUGAAGGAAUUAGGAUUGUAAAGCUCAUUUACCCGGGAUGAUAAUGGCAGUACCGGGAGGAUAAGCUCCGGAGAACUCCGU
rnacentral:rRNA from 1 species